rnacentral:rRNA from 1 species
UACGUAGGGUGCAAGCGUUAAUCGGAAUUACUGGGCGUAAAGCGUGCGCAGGCGGUUUUGUAAGUCUGUCGUGAAAUCCCCGGGCUCAACCUGGGAAUGGCGAUGGAGACUGCAAGGCUAGAGUUUGACAGAGGGGGGUAGAAUUCCACGUGUAGCAGUGAAAUGCGCUAGAUAUGUGGAGGAACACCGAUGGCGAAGGCAGCCCCCUUGGGUCAAAACUGACGCUCAUGCACGAAAGCGUGGGGAGCAAACAGG